rnacentral:lncRNA from 1 species
AUGGGCUGUGUGUCCACACGCUGUCACACACAUGCCCCUCGUGUCCACACAACUCAUCCCGUGUCCACAUGCUCACAUAUGUGCCGUGUCCACGAUCUCACGCUGUGUCCAAUCACACAUGCCAUGUCCACACGCUCUCACACGUGCUGUGUCCACACACUCCCGCACGUGCCAUGUCCACAUGUUCUCACACACAUGCCAUGUCGACGCUCACAUAUGCCAUGUCCACAUGCUCCCACACGUGCCGUGUCCACAUGCUCUCAUGCGUCUACACGCUCUCACAGUUGCCGUGUCCACACUCUCUCACAUGCCAUGUACAGACACACAUGCCAUGUCCACAUGCUCUCACACAUGUGCCAUGUCCAGACCCUCACACAUGCUGUGUCCACAUGCUCUCACACACACGUCCACAUGCUAUCACACGUGCCAUGUCCACACGUUCUCACACACGUGCCAUGUCCACACGCUCUCACAUGCCAUGUCCAGAUGCUCACACAUGCCGUGUCCACACAUUCACACACAUGCUGUGUUCACACGCUCUCACACACAUGCCGUGUCCACAUGCCCCAGCAGACUACAGAACUGGUCUGUGCAAAGACCAGGGCUGGAGCUGAUGAGAGCCGGGGGGCUGGGAUGGAGGGUGUGAGAGGCCCAGAGGAGCAGCCAGUGGCAUGGGCUGCCCCCACCCCCCUGCACACUCUGCUGCUUGCCCGAGGGCCUGGUAUAGAGCUGCACCCCCAGGCUGUCCAACUGCUGGCUCCCCACCUCACUGAGGCGUCUCUCCCCCAGCCCAGUGGACCUCAUGCAAGGGCAGGUCUGACCUGGGUGCCACAGCCCCAUCCCUGCCGUGAGGCCUGGGCUGGACCUGAGCUGGGACCGCACACACCAGCCUGGGGGGUGUCACACUGGGUGGGGCUGGGAGUGAGGGGCCCACCCUAG